rnacentral:lncRNA from 1 species
UACAUUCGUGGCUGUACCUCUUGGGGUUAUUCAUGGGUUUAGCCAACUCUACAGAUAAUUUAAAGGGAGAUUGAUGAAACUUCACUUUACAGUCAUUAAAGAGCAGACUAGAGGAUUCUACGAUCAGAUUUAGGAGUUUCAAGCUAAUCCUUUCUUCCUGACAUGUUUUCCUAGUUUACCUGGGUAGAAAAGGUUCAUCUCAUGCUAUGCAGUUUUAAAAUAGGGCUGGUUUUUAAUAUUCUAGUGACACUUGAGGCUGCCUUUUUAAUAAAUGAAAGCUUGUUUUGAAUUGUAAAUGUUGAGCCUCUUAUGUUGGCAGUUUUAACACCAUUGCUCACUUGAGAUAAUGUAUGACUUAACCAGAAGUUACUAUUAGUUAUUUUCCAAUUCUUCAGAAACCAAAACAAAGUCUUUCUAAAUUGCUGUAGGAAUUUUGGAUUUAAUUAAAGGAAGAUUUCUUUCAUGCUAUGAGUGAUUAAACAAACAUUUUACCUAUUGAUAGAAUGUAUGAAAUUUCUGACUCUAGAGAAAGAGUAUUUUUGGGGAUUACUCUUCUAUGUACUAUAAAAGACAAACAAACAAACAAACAAAAAACCCUGAUAUUAAUUGUUUCUUCUUCUUCUUUUUUUUUUUUUUUUCUUUUUUUUUGGUGGUGUGAAGGCCACACUUGUGGCAUAUGGAGGUUCCCAGGCUAGGGGUCUAAUCAGAGCUGUAGCUGUUGGCCUACACCGCAGCCACAGCAACUCCAGAUCCGAGCCGCAUCUGCAACCUACACCACGGCUCACGGCAACGCGGGAUCCUUAAUCACUGAACAAGGCCGGGGAUUGAAACUUCGUCCUCAUGGAUACUAGUCAGGUUCAUUUCCGCUGAGCCACAACGGGAACUCCUGUUUUGUUUCUUGUUGGAUUAUUUAACUGACUUUCAGAGAAUUGGGAAUAAUCUAGAUAUAUGGAGAUAUUUUAGUUUUUAAAUUCCUGAUUAUUCUUUAUUCUCCUUGCCACUGACUUUCUACCUUAAUCAUAAACCAAGUCCUAGGGUUUUUUACUAUUCUUAUUAUAUCCCUUAUGUCAUUGAUUCUAGCUCUUCUGUGUGCAAAGGAUUUGGCAUACAGAGUGAUUUAUUACUCAGAGCUGGGAUCUUUGGUUCUAUUUGAAUUUCAAAAAUCUCAUAUUUUUUGAAACAAAAUUUAAAAGUAGAGAUUAUUUUAGUAUCAUAUGAAUUUCUCAGAUCAUUGAUUUUUCCUUACACUGAGUGAAAAGAAAGGCUUGAGCUUUAAAAAUUAUUAGAAAAAUUCUAGAAUAGCCAAAUACAUAGAGAGAGUAGACUGGUAGCUUAGCGGGUGGGAGGAAAGUGGGCAGUAACUGGUAAAGGGUAUGGAAGUUUCUUUUCGGGGUGACGAAAAUGUUCUAAAACUGUGGUAAUGGAUGCUUAACUCGAGAAUAUACUAAAAUGUAUUGAACUGUAAAAAAUAAUCAUUGUACUACAAUUAAUUUUUAUUAAAAAUGGAAAUAAAAUACCCCCCUCAAAAAACAUAUUAGAAAACCAGAGAACAUUGCCCAGUUCAGGAUAAACAGGUGAAUAAAGAGUUAAUAGUUUUAAAGCAUUAUUGCCAUGGUAAUAAAAUGUUUGAAAAAAAAAAUCCAAGGAGCAGCUUUGAUUUACUGUUCAGCCUUAAUAUGAGUGAGAAUCAAUUAACUUUAGUAGGCUGCUUAAUUUUCUUUAAAGACUAUGAUUCAAAGCAGAAAACCCUGUAUACUAAGGUAUAUGGCAUGGCAUUUUAUAAAAGAUUACAUAUCAUAAAAUGUAGCCAAAAUCAUGCAAGGAAAAACUUAAGUGAUUAGUCUCAAGGAACCCGUUGGAAUGAAGAUAGCAGGAGAGAACAAUGAUGCUGGGGAGCGGAGAUUUGGCCAUUCAAAUGCGGAUUUCAUUGCAAGACCCUUUUUUUAAGGUCUCUGUUUUCCUGCAAGUGAAAUGUUGUCUCUUAUUUUAGGGCACAUCUCCUAUACUUGUACUACUCCUCUUCUUGGUUAUUCUACACAAUUAUAAUUACCGGCUUAAUUAAAUUUAGCUAUUAAUGUCAAGAACCAUCUUUUAAAAAUCUACUAAAAUGUCUCAAAGAGAAUGUCUAUUGCACAAAAUAGCUGUGCCACAAUUCCAGGAGAUGUGGUCAUACAGGUGAAGAAUCAACAAAAUGUGGUUGAAUGUCAUGUCUUACUCUCCUACCCAGAGGUAAAAAUUCCAUCCAAAGUUACAUUAACAUAAAAUGCACUCCGGCAAAGUAAGUCUAACCAUGAAUGAGAAAAUGCUACAAGAAAUGGGAACAAAGCCCCAUCAGAUCUCCCUACCCUUCCUUCAUUCUUUAUAAAGUCAAACUAUCUUGUGUUUGGAAUUGUUUUUUACUGCAUCUGUUUACCGAAGAGGAAAUUAUCUUUAUCUUACUGCAGUAUGGAAUUUUCAAUUAAUUGUAAAUUCCCAGAAACCCCUAAGUGGGAUAUAAUUUACCUGAACCUAGAGACCAAGAGGACAGCAUCCGUUUUACUCUGGACUUUUAGAAUAAGACCUCAGCAGACAUCUCAUGUUAUUUGUCUUUAGAUCAUAAAAUAAAAUAGAUGGUCGUCUAGCUCACAGGCACUUAAGAUUGGCUUUGUAAAUUACUGGCUGACUCAUACUCACUCAAGUCAUCCAUUUUAUGCCCAGAGGCUUUAUUAGCAGCACGGGGACACAAAGAACUGGUAAACAAAAGAAUCCAGUGUGCGAUGUGUUUAGAGCUCCCAGAAUCUUCCAACCGUUUUUAUCCUUUCCUUAAAAAUUAUCUAUGUAUAUCCAAAGGAGCCACUUAAUCCCUUGGUAGCCCUCAAGCUGAAGGGGGUAAACAAAGAUUAUUGCUGGUUUCAUAUGGAGAACUGCUAGGUAGUUUUACCUUAAUUAUAAGUGAAACACAGAAAAGUGAGCAAAGUAGAGAAUGACAGACUCCAGACUGACAAAAAAGCAAGUGUGCACAGUAAAGAAGUUUCCAGAGAGAGGAAAUCCUGUACUAGAGAGAGCAUUUCAAUGACUAUAUUUGGUGCAAGACUAACACACACACACACACACACACACACACACACAUCUAAGUAUAUACAUAGCCAUACACAGUAUAUAGUUUAUACACAGUAUAUAGUUUGUUUUCUCUAUAUAAAUAUAUAUACACAUCUAUAUAUUUUUAGGAGAAUAGUUUUAUUUUUCCCUAAAUCUUAACUGUAUAUUGUUCUAAAAGUGUGGGUUAUAGAUAUUUCUGAGAAAAAUAAUACAGAAGAAUAAUUUGAGGAAAGUCUGGCGCUCUUUUCUGGUAGAUAGGGUGUUCACAAAAACAUAUUUACUGUCCACCUAACUUUCUACUGUAAGAAUUCAUAGUCAUAAAAAGUUUUUAUCCCUGGGGAGAACAGUUUCUCCAUUCAACUUAUCCUUUAACUAUAGAUUCAUUUUUAGGCACAAUCAGUUGCCCCAUUGCCCAAUGGUUUCUAGAAUGCAAAGAGUAUUUGUAGAAGAAAAAAAUAUACGAUACUAUAUAUUCAAGGGCAGAGAAUUAGGGAAGUUGAUCAUCUCUCAGAUUAAGGCUCUUGGACCAUCUGCAUUGGUAUCAUCUAGCAAGUGGGUUGAAAUGCAGAUUCAUGGGCCCAAUCCACAAACUAAUCAGAAUCUCUAAGGAAAGGGUCAGGAGCCUGAACUUCUGGCACAUAUCUCAUGUGAUUCUAGUGUACAUGAAAUUUAAAUCACUGCUACAUUUCUGUAGCCUUUAGGAACCAAAUCUUGCCCCUGACUGUAUUUGAAAACUGAGCUGUGAAACCAGUGUUUGCUAAGGUCUCUUUCUGCUGUCAGUCUGGAGCAAGGAGUGGAAGGUAACAGAGGCAAAGCUGAAAGUAUAUUUAAAAUAAUAUUUUUAGGAGUUCCCAUCAGGGCGCAGCGUAAUUGAAUCCAACUAGGAACCACGAGUUUGCGGGGUUCGAUCCCUGGCCUCGCUCGGUGGGUUAAGGAUCUGGUGUUGCCAUGAGCUAUG